rnacentral:rRNA from 1 species
CUACCUGACCUAGCGGCGGACGGGUGAGUAAUGCUUAGGAAUCUGCCUAUUAGUGGGGGACAACAUUCCGAAAGGAAUGCUAAUACCGCAUACGCCCUACGGGGGAAAGCAGGGGAUCUUCGGACCUUGCGCUAAUAGAUGAGCCUAAGUCAGAUUAGCUAGUUGGUGGGGUAAAGGCCUACCAAGGCGACGAUCUGUAGCGGGUCUGAGAGGAUGAUCCGCCACACUGGGACUGAGACACGGCCCAGACUCCUACGGGAGGCAGCAGUGGGGAAUAUUGGACAAUGGGCGAAAGCCUGAUCCAGCCAUGCCGCGUGUGUGAAGAAGGCCUUUUGGUUGUAAAGCACUUUAAGCGAGGAGGAGGCUACUUGGAUUAAUACUCUAGGAUAGUGGACGUUACUCGCAGAAUAAGCACCGGCUAACUCUGUGCCAGCAGCCGCGGUAAUACAGAGGGUGCGAGCGUUAAUCGGAUUUACUGGGCGUAAAGCGUGCGUAGGCGGCUUCUUAAGUCGGAUGUGAAAUCCCUGAGCUUAACUUAGGAAUUGCAUUCGAUACUGGGAAGCUAGAGUAUGGGAGAGGAUGGUAGAAUUCCAGGUGUAGCGGUGAAAUGCGUAGAGAUCUGGAGGAAUACCGAUGGCGAAGGCAGCCAUCUGAAGUCUUGAGUAUGGUAGAGGUGAGUGGAAUUCCGAGUGUAGAGGUGAAAUUCGUAGAUAUU